rnacentral:rRNA from 1 species
CGCAAAACAAAGGGAAGCAAAGCCGCGAGGCGGAGCGAAUCCCCAAAAGGCGUCUCAGUUCGGAUUGCAGGCUGCAACUCGCCUGUAUGAAGUCGGAAUUGCUAGUAAUCGUGGAUCAGCAUGCCACGGUGAAUACGUUCCCGGGCCUUGUACACACCGCCCGUCACACCAUGAGAGCCGGGAACACCCGAAGUCCGUAGUCUAACCUAUAUGGAGGACGCGGCCGAAGGUGGGUUUGGUAAUUGGGGUGAAGUCGUAACAAGGUAUC